GGAUUGUGAAUUUAGUUAGGAUUUGAUCCCGCAGUCACUUUUUGAUUUCUUUUCUCAGUUUGUCAUUAACUACCAUAUGAACAAAUUAAAUAUUAGCCUGUCUGAACUGUUGAAUAUACUCAAAAUAGUAGAGAACCAUUUUAAAGAUGAAAAGGCUGUAGUUUUUCUUAUAAAUAAUAAGAUCAAUAAGAAGAAAGACAAGAAGGGUUCCAAGAAAAAAUUGAACCCUAAGGCUAGCAUCUCCAAGAAGAAGGCAAAGAAAGUCUUCGUCAAAGAUACUUGCUAUACUGC
rnacentral:lncRNA from 1 species